UGGGCUGUGUCUUCUCCUUAAAACAUUCAGUGGUGGAGGCAGCUGGGGACUGAUGGAGCCACAGAGUUGUGCUUUCUUUUCUUAGCUUCAGUGGCUGGAAGAUAAGAUGGUGAGGAGGUAAAUUUUAUGCCUAGAACUCGGAGCACUUGCCAUUAUCCUUGCUAUACAGGUAGAAAUGGGGACACAUGGACAGGCAUGCUUAUGUAGAUUGAUGUUAUUUAUUAAGUCAGUGGCAAACCAGCAAAAACUCUCCUAACUCCCAAGACCAAGUGGUAUUAAACCUGGUGGCUUGCAAGGGCUUCUGCUGGGUUUAUGAAAAAUAGAUAUAUAAUUGAGCUAGGAGAUGACAUGCUUAAAAAGAAAAAAGUGACCUUUUUUUCCCCAUACCCUUGCGAUUGCUCCAGAGCUCGCUAGUUAUAGCUGCUAUUUCAGUGUCCCCCAAAUUAGUCUUUCAGGUUGCAUGAGCUCCCCAGGCUGUUCUGUGGUCAGGCUGCUUUAAAUGAGCUUUUCUUCUCUGUGUGCCAUAGCGUCAAACUCCUGACCUUGAGAGCCUGGCAGCACCAGAUGUCUGGGCUUCAGAGCACCGCUAGCGCCGGAGGAACAUGCGACUGGCCAGCUGGAGGUGGAAGCCGUGGGGAGGAAGGAGUGCCGUGCCAGCACCAGCCGCCAAACUCUCCUGGGAGGCUGCACCCAGCAUUGCUCCAGCGCUGCGCCACGUCCUCUGGCCUGGAGCUGACCCUGUAGUCAUUCCUUUAAACCCAUCCCUUGGUGCCAGCUGUCUGCUAAGGACGCAUCUCUCCCACUCUCAUUACCAGGCACCCCAGCCCCUACGGCCACGAGCUUGGCCCAAGCAGGUGGAAGCGGGUCUGGAGGGCUCGGGGUGCUCUGCUCUGCUCUGGUCCUGGAGCAGUUCAGUUUGGGAGGCUGCACUUCAUUAGAGCUGUGAAACGGAACAAUUAGCUGAGGCUGACAAUUUCCUACAGCCUCAGCUGAGUGUAACGGGCGUUUUCUAAUCUCUCUAUUUAUCUUACUGUUAAUCUGGCUAUCAAAUAAAACAAUUUUCCAAA